rnacentral:rRNA from 1 species
UACGUAGGGGCAAGCGUUGUCCGGAUUUAUUGGGCGUAAAGAGCGUGUAGGCGGCCAGGUAGGUCAGCUGUGAAAACUCGAGGCUCAACCUCGAGACGCCGGUUGAAACCAUCUGGCUAGAGUCCGGAAGAGGAGAGUGGAAUUCCUGGUGUAGCGGUGAAAUGCGCAGAUAUCAGGAAGAACACCCGUGGCUAAGGCGGCUCUCUAGUACGGUACUGACGCUGAGACGCGAAAGCGUGGGGAGCAAACAGG